GAAAAAAACUUUGACAAAAAUGAGUACAUUGUGAUUCCACAAAUUCAUUGCAAAGAAUAAUUCCCGUCCAAAUAUAUGUUGUACAUAUAGUGAGAAAUACCUACUUUAAUACAUUUUUAGUUAAUUAUAACAAUAUACUAUUAGGUAUGAUUUUGUGACAGUCAAAAAAGUUAGUUUUUCAAAAAAUCUUGCCUUUUCAGGUUUUUUAAUAUGUCAUAUGCGGUGGUAACAUUCACCAACGAAGGAUUGGGAGUUACAUCCACGUCGGAAGUCCCCACUAAUUGGCUGCUUAAUGACAACAAACAAUGUUGGUGGCCUUCGCUGAGCAAAAACAUUAGCUCCUUAAUUGCUAAAAGAGCCCAACCAACUGAUGUAUGGAGUAAAGAAGAUGUAGUGGUUGAAACACUUGGGCUAUCACUUGAGACGGCUCGAAAAAAAGCAGAAGAUCUAGAUUACACAUCCUCAGAAGAGGCCAACACUGGCAGAGGUAAAAGGAAAAUAACUCCGAAGCAAUUUGAAAGUAGUUCUUCGGACAACGAAGUUAUUUCUAAAGAAAUGCAGCGAUACCUCCGCCUCCUUCUUUCCCUAAGGAUUUUCAAGAGAGUUCUUGCAAUAGUAUAUCUUUGUCUGACCCAAAUUCAGCUGUAUUUACUGCAGUAGCUGAGGUUAAUAUUCCUACAGGAAUGACGGCAGACAAACCUGAUAACAUAAAUCUACCCGGAGUGCCAGAUCAAAUGCUCCAACCCAAGUAGCACAAAUAUAUUUAAAAUACAUAUAAAA